CCCUUAGAUGUUCUGGGCCGCACGCGCGCUACACUGAUGCAUUCAACGAGUUUCUUCCUGGUCCGAGAGGAAUGGGUAACCUUUUGAAAGUGCAUCGUGAUAGGGAUAGACUAUUGCAAUUAUUGGUCUUCAACGAGGAAUUCCCAGUAGACGUAGUUCAUCAGACUGCAUCGAUUACGUCCCUGCCCUUUGUACACACCGCCCGUCGCUCCUACCGAUUGAAUGUGUUGGUGAGGAGCUCGGAUUGGCAGCAGUUGGUGGUUCGCCACCGGCUAUUGCUGAGAAGUCCUCCAAACCGCCCCAUUUAGAGGAAGGAGAAGUCGUAACA
rnacentral:rRNA from 1 species